rnacentral:rRNA from 1 species
CCUACGGGUGGCAGCAGUGAGGAAUAUUGGUCAAUGGACGCGAGUCUGAACCAGCCAUGCAGCGUGCAGGAUGACUGCCCUAUGAGUUGUAAACUUCUUUUAUAAGAGAAUAAACGGAGACACGCGUGUCUUUCUGCAUGUAUCUUACGAAUAAGGAUCGGCUAACUCCGUGCCAGCAGCCGCGGUAAUACGGAGGAUUCGAGCGUUAUCCGGAUUUAUUGGGUUUAAAGGGAGCGUAGACGGUCUGAUAAGUUAGUUGUGAAAUUCCGAGGCUCAACUGUGAAAUUGCCAUUGAUACUGUACGGCUAGAGUAUAGUUGAGGUAGGCGGAAUGCAUGGUGUAGCGGUGAAAUGCUUAGAGAUCACGAAGAACCCCGAUUGCGAAGGCAGCUUACCAAGCUACGACUGACGUUGAGGCUCGAAAGUGUGGGUAUCAAACAGGAUUAGAUACCCCGGUAGUC